UGGGGCGUCAUUCAAUGGCAGGAUGCCACUCUCUGAAACUCGUCAUGUUGGUUCAACUCCAGCCGCCUCCGCCU
rnacentral:tRNA from 1 species